AAAAAUGAUAGAAUCUGAAGCGAGAUGAUGUAUCAAAUAUUCUUACUUUGUACGUUUUCAAGACAAAAUAUUCAACUCACGUCCUAACAUAAAAAGGUGCACUCAAUUUUUCCUUUUCGAUACAAUUUUUACCCAUUUUUUAAUUUUUUUUCUUGAGUCAUAUAAUGGAAGGGCAGACACGAAAAUUACGGAACUUAUAGAUUGAUAUGUUCUCCGUCCGUG
rnacentral:lncRNA from 1 species